GAAAAGUUGAUAUUCUAACGACUUUACUGUACCCAGUUCAGUUCUCAUAUGAAUUUGUUGAAUCGAUGUAAGAAGGUGCUGGCAAACAGAAGAAAAUAUUUUUUUCCUCUUCCAAAAACCACUCGCUAUUCAACUAUAUAUACUAAACGUUCGGUCAGUGAUAACAAGAACACAAUUCGGUGUGUGAUAUAUAUUGUGGGGUCGAAAAGUGAUCAUCUGAUGUGAAAAAUAACAAAUAUUUUUGGUUGGAAAUUAAUUUUUGUUAUUUCGGUUUUCCUAAUUGGUACGUGGGAAAUUGUUGUGGAUUAAUUUGAGCCGCUAAAUAGCUUGGAAUUCUUUGGAACCACAAAUUGUUGCGAAAAUGCUGAGACUGGUUUUUUGUUUGGUGGCGAUUACAGCGCUAUAUCUUGUCACAUUACCAAUAAAAGCUGACCAGGAGAAUACGAACGGAUGUGACACGUUUUGCAAUCUAACAUACCUGCCAAUUUGCGGUAUUGACGAUAGUGGUAAAAAGAAAAGCUUUCCGAACGAAUGCGUUAUGAAGUCGGAGAAUUGUGUCAACAAAUCAAAUUUUCAGCGAAUAGGCAAUGGAACGUGCCCAUAGAUAAAGCACUAAUACGUUAAAAUUAUGCUUUUUAGACAAGUAGAUAAACCUUCCUAGUAAAUGUGUAAUAAAACCGUAGGAUUAUAUAAUGGGAAAAAGGAGUAGGAUGAUAAUAAUUUCCGUAAAAUUAGUUUUUCUUUAAAUGUAAUUUGCUUAUGCUUAACUGAUUCGUCUAUUUUUGUAAACAUUAAUAAAAAAAAAUGUAAAUAAUA